rnacentral:tRNA from 1 species
AGAAAGACAUAGAGGUUAUGGGGUUGGCUUGAAACCAACUUUUGGGGGUUCGAGUCCUUCCUUUCUUA